GACAGGAGGACGUCCCAGUGAGUCUCCAGAGGACGGAGACGCCGACCGCCUCGCCGUCUCGGCUCAAAGAGGUCGAGGAGACGCUGAAGGUCACCAUGGAGACGACCUCUGCCGGAGCGCUGGACCGACUCCUGCUCUAGAACAUCCACUGGGACCAGCUUCCCCUCAGCAUGAUGCUGCCUCCUCCGGUCUGGACCAAGGUGUCGUUUCCAUGGUGACAGCGUUUCCGCUGGUUACAUGUGCAGGUGCAGCAACAGGCCGACGGACGAGGCGCUCACCGACCUCAGAACAUUUUCUAUUUCAAAUAUUUUCCAGACGUCGAUUGUUGAAGAUUUUCAGUUUUAUUUUUCAUCUGAUCUGUUUGAUGAUCUGCAGGAACAAAAGAGAGAAAAAUACUCUGAGUUUGUUAGAAAAGUUGAAUUGAGCAAAAACAUGAAGCAUAAAUUUUAUUAAAAAGCUUUAAAGAGUUUGUUAA